UCGGAUUUGAAGAUCAAAGACGGGCACGUCUUUAAGGGGAUUGUGGCCGCUAGUCCUGCCGAGCCUAGAGCAUGUGGUUGUGUGCAGCCUCCCCCAAUAGUUGACAGCGUUGCUCCAUAUCCUAUAAUUGAAAAUAUUUCUGUUCAGAAACUAACUCCGGAGUAUAAGAUUGGUAUGGAGCGGUUGGUGAAAACAAAGACACCCCCAAUGAAGGCUUCGGAAAUAUGGCGUGAUAAACCAGCUGUACUCAUCUGUAUCAGGCGCCCGGGGUAACUUUCAUAUGCACAUAUAAAUAUAUUCUGCAUCUUGGCAUCGCAUGAAUCUAUUGCACUUUUAUGAAAACAAAGAAAGAAAUGAUGUUUGUUCUUUUCAGAUGAAAAUGUGAAUCGAUGAUAUUUUAAUGGUAUUCUUUUUGUGCAUGUGGAAAAUAGGUGCAUCAUGUGCAGAGCCGAGGCCCACCAACUUAUGCAAAAAAAACCCAUGUUUGAUGCACUUGGAAUUCAACUAUUUGCAGUUCUUCAUGAACAAAUAGAGGCAGAGGUAUUUCACUAAAUUAUGCAUUUCCUUCCUAUUGCAUUCAAUUCUUGAUUCUUCCUGAAGAACAAUAAACACGAAGAAUUCUGACCUUUCUCGAUCCAGGUGAAAGAUUUCUGGCCUCGAUACUGGGGUGGUGUCGUACUCUACGACAAAGGCAUGGAGUUUUUCAAAGCUCUCGGUGGCGGGAAGCUGCUCAAGGACAAGUUCAUAUCGGGAUUUCUGUUCAACCCUCGGGCCAUCGCGAAUUACAAGCGUGCGAAAGCAAUGGGAGUGGAGCAGAAUUUCAAGGGGGAAGGUGAAAUAAAAGGUGGGCUCUUUAUAGUUGGCAGAGGCAAGAGUGGAAUUGCCUACCAGUUUAUAGAGAGGAAUUUCGGUGACUGGGCACCGCUUUCUGAAGUCGUCGAGAUCUGUUCUCGCUUGCAGGUAAUGCUUAUAAACUCUCUCUCUCUCUCUCCUCUCUCUCUCUCCCAUCCAGUAAUUUCUAUUUAAGUUAACUUCUUCAUUCUUAUGCAGAACCAACAGCAAAGUCAGGUGGAGUCAUUCAAAACAUCACAAGAGUACUAAUAAGUAUGGACCCUUGUUCUUCCAAGAGUACUCAUAAGCCUUCAAAUCUUCAUAUUAUUACUAUUCUUUUGGUAAGUGUCCACAAAUAUAAAAAAAAAAAAAGUUAUAGAACACCGGUUAUUUAUUCUCUUGUUGUAUUAAUCGAAUACGUAUUUGUUUGUUAUAUUUAUUAUGGAAUGUUUAAUUUUUUGGUCCUAAUGAAACUUAUGUAUCCUUUGAAUAGUGAAAAUUUCAAUAUACAUGCUUGUUGAUAAAAUGAUUACCCACAUUUUUUAGAUGAUAGAUAAGUGAAGAAAAUUAUAUGACUUGAUCAUUGAAUCAAUAAAAACAGGAGAUAAUGAAUAAGGUUACAGUUUACAAAACCCAACACUAAUGUUCUCUUUGAUUGAUGCUCGUAAACCCUAAACCCAUGUCAGGAGUGCCAAAGACUUGGUGUCUUGAUCAAUAAAAUUCAAAUUUGUUUGUCACAGCUUCAAACAAUAGCAGUUUUGNNNNNNNNNNNNNNNNNNNNNNNNNNNNNNNNNNNNNNNNNNNNNNNNNNNNNNNNNNNNNNNNNNNNNNNNNNNNNNNNNNNNNNNNNNNNNNNNNNNNUGAAGCCACCAUCGUCUCCUCCGGUCCAGCCAUUUUCGAACCCUUCACUUUCUUUCCAUCACCCUUGACAACAGAAGCGUGAAGCUAGUAAUUUGGAAAGUGAUGAAAACCAUCUCACUGUCUUCUCUUCACUCAUCUUGCUUAAACUCUUCUUUAAGAUUUUUUUUGCUUCUUGUGAUUAAAUUUUCUGGAGUUCAUUUUUUUCUUAGAUAAGGUAAAAUUCCUUGAUGAUUAAGUUAACUUGUUGACUGGGUAAAGUUGGAUUGUGGAAAAGCAUCCCCUUGGAACCAUUUUUCUGCACCAUGAAUUUCAUUUUCUUAAAAAACUCUUUUUUAUCAUGAAAAUCUGUUCUUUUUUAUGUAACCUAUAGGCUAUGUUUGGAUCAAAAAUUUAGUAGAGGGAGAGAAAAAAAAAGCAAGAAGUUAAUGAAUUCAACGGUUUAGAUUUAAUCUUUUUCAACUAGCUAAGUUUUUCUGGCCGGUAUGAAAUGAAAACAAAAUACCAUCUAUAUACUCACCAAGUACUCAAGUGAUGUGAUGAAGAUCUCAGAUUAUUUUAGUUAUCUAAACAACUAAAAUGCUAAAAUAAAAAUAAAAAUUAUAUGAAAUAAGACGUUGUGGACUCACUCUAGGUCAUUUAAAUCGUCCAUCUUAUGAGACUUGUCAAGCAGAUGAUUUAUGCAAAAAAAAAAUAAUAAAUUGAUCACAAUCGAGAGCCACUUAACUAAAUCAAAUUUGCUGAAAAACAAACUAACCGACAAAUAUAAUUUAGAGAAUAAACUAUCUAACGAUCAUAUGAGAAAUAUUUC
rnacentral:lncRNA from 1 species